rnacentral:rRNA from 1 species
AACGAACGCUGGCGGCAUGCCUAACACAUGCAAGUCGAACGAGACCUUCGGGUCUAGUGGCGCACGGGUGCGUAACGCGUGGGAACCUGCCCUUAGGUUCGGAAUAACUCCCCGAAAGGGGUGCUAAUACCGGAUAAUGUCUUCGGACCAAAGAUUUAUCGCCUUUGGAUGGGCCCGCGUUGGAUUAGCUAGUUGGUAGGGUAAAAGCCUACCAAGGCGACGAUCCAUAGCUGGUCUGAGAGGAUGAUCAGCCACACUGGGACUGAGACACGGCCCAGACUCCUACGGGAAGCAGCAGUGGGGAAUAUUGGACAAUGGGCGAAAGCCUGAUCCAGCAAUGCCGCGUGAGUGAUGAAGGCCUGAGGGUUGUAAAGCUCUUUUACCCGGGAUGAUAAUGACAGUACCGGGAGAAUAAGCGCCGGCUAACUCCGUG